UAUGGCGGGGCGGCUGCACCCGUUCCCAUUCCGAACACGGCCGUGAAACGCCCCAGCGCCUAUGGUACUUCGUCUUAAGACGCGGGAGAGUCGGUCGCUGCCAGGU
rnacentral:rRNA from 1 species